ACUGCCAACCAUCAACCACCCAUUGACACUAAUCCCCAUUUAUUCUCCCUACAUUCUCAUCAACUCCCCACACACCCCCAUUGCACCCUCACCUGCACACAGGAGGCAAUUGACACCGGCCAAUUAACCUACCAACCUUCACGCCUUGUUAAAGGGCUCUUUAAUAUCUCUCUCUCUCUCUUCCAAUCCCCACUCAAAAGCCGGACAAAAUUGUCCAGCCUGCUGUGGGCCAUACGGGGAAGUAAAUUCACGGAGCCUUGGCCGUGAAUCUUUGAUCAGUCCGAGAGCGGGGCUCGGGGCUCGGAGUUUGAGUUGGCAGCCUCGGGCUAUCGGUCAUGGGGGCGGGACGGCAAGUGGUGGCCGAUGGCCCCUGGAUUACAGAAAUGCUGUGAUCCGAGUUUUCCUGGUUGGGGACUGUGAGGAGUGACCGGACAUUUGACCUACGAGGAAUGUGCUGGUGCCGAAACAAGCCUUCGUGUGUUUCAUUAUUCUACGCCUCCAGUGAUGAAACCAGAUAUGCAUCUCCCGUACAGUUUCAAAGAAUGUCCACACUCCGCCCAAAAGUCUAUUUAAAGUCCACGUUUAAAAUUAAAUUUCUUAAUACUGCUAUUGGUAAACUGGAAGUCAAUCCAGUUUGUGCCUUGUUACCGUGAAGGUUGGUUUUCAAGUAACCCGGGCAAUAUGUUAUAUUUCAAAACUCUCAAGUAAUUACAGACUUGUCAGUGAUUUCAGCGAAAAUUAGGAAUCGCCGGAGAAGCUUUGAUACUUAAGGGGGUAUUAUCAAUUCUUACAAGUAAAUGCUAUUCAUCGAUUUGUCUUUGUAGAAUCGGCUACUGAUUAUAAUGAGUGACACUAAGGAAUGUAGACGGCCCUUAACUCGUUGAGUACAAAAGUUCUUUUAGCUUCGGGGGAAAUAGAAUGGCAACAAAAUGAAACUUCACUUCACCGCCGCCUUUGCUGGCAGCGUUGGCGAAUUCAUGGGAAAUCAUUAGAAGGGAUUGAAACGGGCAGAUUGCCUCGAAUUCUCCAGGGGAAUCAUUAUUCGCGUUUUUUGGUAAUAGACACCUUGCGAACUGUUUUAAUUUAGACCAACAUGACACGCUUUAGCCCAGGUUAUGAAAGAGUGUGUUUUCUAAACCCACUAAAUUGGAUAUAAAUAAACGGCUGGUAGACAUGUGAGUCAAAAGCACAAAACAUGCCAGCGGAAACCAAACAAACCUGUAUCGGUUGCGCUCUCCGCUUGCGAGACGGUUCCCUGUAUAUAAAUGGUGGCAAUGAAGUCGCUAAUUAAAGUGAGUUGUUUGGACAAGAUACUUGCACAGGCAUCGCCACAGAAAAAUAGCGACUUCUUGUCGAGUUAUUUAUAUAGCAUACACUGCGAUUUGCAAUGCACAGCCGGCCAC